GCUUAUUGAUAUGCUUAAGUUCAGCGGGUAUCCCUACCUGAUCCGAGGUCAACCUGGAAAAAAGUUUUGGUUGAUCGGCAAGCGCCGGCCGGGCCUACAGAGCGGGUGACAAAGCCCCAUACGCUCGAGGACCGGACGCGGUGCCGCCGCUGCCUUUCGGGCCCGUCCCCCCGGGAAGGGGGACGAGACCCAACACACAAGCCGGGCUUGAGGGCAGCAAUGACGCUCGGACAGGCAUGCCCCCCGGAAUACCAGGGGGCGCAAUGUGCGUUCAAAGACUCGAUGAUUCACUGAAUUCUGCAAUUCACACCAAGUAUCGCAUUUCGCUGCGUUCUUCAUCGAUGCUUUCUACGCAGCGU
rnacentral:misc_RNA from 1 species